rnacentral:rRNA from 1 species
GAGGAAUAUUGGUCAAUGGACGAGAGUCUGAACCAGCCAAGUAGCGUGAAGGAUGACUGCCCUAUGGGUUGUAAACUUCUUUUAUACGGGAAUAAAGUGAGGCACGUGUGCCUUUUUGUAUGUACCGUAUGAAUAAGGAUCGGCUAACUCCGUGCCAGCAGCCGCGGUAAUACGGAGGAUCCGAGCGUUAUCCGGAUUUAUUGGGUUUAAAGGGAGCGUAGGCGGACGCUUAAGUCAGUUGUGAAAGUUUGCGGCUCAACCGUAAAAUUGCAGUUGAUACUGGGUGUCUUGAGUACAGUAGAGGCAGGCGGAAUUCGUGGUGUAGCGGUGAAAUGCUUAGAUAUCACGAAGAACUCCGAUUGCGAAGGCAGCUUGCUGGACUGUAACUGACGCUGAUGCUCGAAAGUGUGGGUAUCAAACAGGAUUAGAUACCCUGGUAGUCCACACAGUAAACGAUGAAUACUCGCUGUUUGCGAUAUACAGUAAGCGGCCAAGCGAAAGCGUUAAGUAUUCCACCUGGGGAGUACGCCGGCAACGGUGAAACUCAAAGGAAUUGACGGGGGCCCGCACAAGCGGAGGAACAUGUGGUUUAAUUCGAUGAUACGCGAGGAACCUUACCCGGGCUUGAAUUGCAACUGAAUGAUGUGGAGACAUGUCAGCCGCAAGGCAGUUGUGAAGGUGCUGCAUGGUUGUCGUCAGCUCGUGCCGUGAGGUGUCGGCUUAAGUGCCAUAACGAGCGCAACCCUUAUCGAUAGUUACCAUCAGGUUAUGCUGGGGACUCUGCCGAGACUGCCGUCGUAAGAUGUGAGGAAGGUGGGGAUGACGUCAAAUCAGCACGGCCCUUACGUCCGGGGCUACACACGUGUUACAAUGGGGGGUACAGAAGGCAGCUACACGGCGACGUGAUGCUAAUCCCGAAAGCCUCUCUCAGUUCGGAUUGGAGUCUGCAACCCGACUCCAUGAAGCUGGAUUCGCUAGUAAUCGCGCAUCAGCCACGGCGCGGUGAAUACGUUCCCG